AUACGGAGGGUGCAAGCGUUAUCCGGAAUCAUUGGGUUUAAAGGGUCCGUAGGCGGGCUAUUAAGUCAGAGGUGAAAUCCCACAGCUCAACUGUGGAACUGCCUUUGAUACUGAUAGUCUUGAGUUACAGUGAAGUAGAUAGAAUAUGUAGUGUAGCGGUGAAAUGCAUAGAUAUUACAUAGAAUACCGAUUGCGAAGGCAGUCUACUAACUGUAUACUGACGCUGAUGGAUGAAAGCGUGGGGAGCGAACAGGAUUAGAAACCCUAGUAGUCC
rnacentral:rRNA from 1 species